rnacentral:rRNA from 1 species
UAAAUGCUAAGAUAUAUGGAGGACACCAAAGGCGAAGGCAGUUAACUAUUCUGCUCUGACAUUGAGGCACGAAAGCGUGGGUAGCGAAACGGAUUAGAUACCCGUGUAGUCCACGCCCUAAACGAUGAGUACUAGAUAUUGGACCACUAGGUUCAGUGUCGCAAGGUAACCCAUUAAGUACUCCGCCUGGGUAGUACGGUCGCAAGGCUAAAACUCAAAGGAAUUGACGGGGACUCGCACAAGCAGUGGAGCAUGUGGUUUAAUCCGAUACUACGCGUAGAACCUUACCAAGGCUUGACAUGUAAAGUAGCAAUACUAAAUCAGGAAACUGGUUGAAUUACACAGGAAUUGCAUGGCCGUCGUCAGUUCGUGCCGUGAGGUGUAUGGUUAAGUCCCACAACGAACGCAACCCUCGUGUCUUAGUUACCAGCGGGUAAAGCCGGGGACUCUAAACAGACUGCCACGGGUAACCGGGAGGAAGGAGAGGAUCAAGUCUGGUCGUCAUGAGACCCUUAUGCCUUGGGCUACACACAUGCUACGGUAGUUAGUACAAAGCGCAGCCAACCCGUGAGGGGGAGCAAAUCGCAAAAAACUAACUUAUUCGGAUUGGAGGCUGCAACUCGCCUCCAUGAAGCAGGAAUUGCUAGUAAUCGUGAAUCAGCUACGUCACGGUGAAUACGUUCUCGAGUCUUGUACACACCGCCCGUCAAGUCACGAAAGUCGGUAAUACCUGAAACCAGUUCCCAUAGAGGGAACCCUCGUAAGAGGGAGAAAGCUGACUAGGGUAGGAUUGGCAAUUGGGGCUAAGUCGUAACAAGGUAACCAAGGG